rnacentral:RNase_P_RNA from 1 species
GUGGGACGGUCUGUCGCUACCACGCUAUUCGUUAGCGUGUUAGAGGAAAGUCCGGGCAACACAGGGCACUAUGCUUCUUAACGGGAAGUCGGCCGCGAGGUCGAACGCAACGCAAUAGAAAACAACCGCCCCUCUUCGGAGGAGCAAGGGUGGAAAGGCGAGGUAAGAGCUCACCGCAUCGGGUGGCAACACAAGGUGGCUGAGGCGUGUCAUAGGUUGAAAGACCAAGUAAACCAAUGUUUGAGGGCUGCCCGCUCGAGUUGGAGGGUAGGUCGAUAGAGGCUGUUGGCAACAGCAGUCGGAGAUAAAUGACAGACACCGUUCUUGCAACGGCACAGAACCCGGCUUACAGGCCCACUUCU